rnacentral:misc_RNA from 1 species
UGGACUUUCCGGCAAAGUCCCUUCGAGCUUGGCUAAAUUGAAGAAUCUCAGGAGCUUGUAUAUUGGGUACUUUAGUACAUACGACGGAGGUAUUCCACCGGAGUUUGGGUCGUUGAGUUCGCUUGAAGUUCUUGACAUGGCGUUCUGUAAUCUCUCAGGCGAGAUUCCUUCCACCUUAGGCCAACUAAAGCGCCUGCAUUCCUUGUUUCUUCAAAUGAAUAAUCUCUCAGGUUUUAUCCCUACUGAACUCUCUGGUUUAAUUAGCUUGAAAUCUCUUGAUCUCUCAAUCAAUGGCCUAACUGGAGAGAUACCAGAGAGCUUUUCUGAGUUGAAGAACAUCACCCUAUUCCAUAUGUUUAAGAACAACAUGCACGGUCAAAUCCCAGAGUUUAUCGGCGAUUUUCCAAAUCUUGAGGUACUUCAUGUUUGGGGAAACAACUUCACGUUUGAACUCCCUAAGAAUCUUGGCCGGAACGGGAAGCUAAAGAUGCUGGACGUUUCUUUCAACCAUCUCACUGGUUUGAUUCCUCGGGAUUUAUGCAAAGGAGGGAAAUUGCAGGAGUUGAUUCUCAUGGGUAAUUUCUUCCUUGGCCAGCUUCCAGAUGAACUUGGCCAGUGCAAGUCCUUGUCCAAAAUCCGAAUUAUGAAUAACCUCCUAUCAGGAACUGUCCCUGCUGGAAUCUUUAAUCUGCCGUUUGUGACUGUGGUUGAGUUGAACGACAACUUUUUCUCUGGAGAACUGCCUUAUGAGAUGUCUGGAAAUAAAGUCGGGCUGUUGACGAUUUCUAACAAUCGAAUAAC